rnacentral:rRNA from 1 species
UACAGAGGUCUCAAGCGUUGUUCGGAUUCAUUGGGCGUAAAGGGCGCGUAGGCGGCAGGGUAAGUCGGGUGUGAAAUCUCAGAGCUCAACUCUGAAAUGGCACUUGAUACUGCUCUGCUAGAGGAGUGGAGAGGAGAUUGGAAUUCACGGUGUAGCAGUGAAAUGCGUAGAUAUCGUGAGGAAGACCGGUGGCGAAGGCGGAUCUCUGGACAGUUCCUGACGCUGAGGCGCGAAGGCCAGGGGAGCAAACAGG